GCCUUCGUGGUGUAAUGGUCAGCACACUCGGCGCGUGUUCGAGGGGUCCGAGGUUCGAGUCUCGGCGACAGCA
rnacentral:tRNA from 1 species